rnacentral:pre_miRNA from 1 species
AGUGGAAUUUCUGGGUCAUAUGGUAAUUUGUUUAACAUUUUGAGGAAUCACCAGACUGUUUUCCAAAGUGACAGCACCAUUUUACAUUCCUACCAGCAAU